UACGAGGGGGGCAAGCGUUGUUCGGAAUUACUGGGCGUAAAGGGCUCGUAGGCGGCCAACUAAGUCAUACGUGAAAUCCCUCAGCUUAACUGGGGAACUGCGUGUGAUACUGGAUGGCUUGGAUUUGGGAGAGGGAUGUGGAAUUCCAGGUGUAGCGGUGAAAUGCGUAGAUAUCUGGAGGAACACCGGUGGCGAAGGCGGCAUCCUGGACCGACAUUGACGCUGAGGCGCGAAAGCCAGGGGAGCAAACGGG
rnacentral:rRNA from 1 species